GGUCCGAUGGUGUAGUGGUUAUCACAUCUGCUUUACACGCAGUAGGUCCCCGGUUCGAACCCGGGUCGGACCG
rnacentral:tRNA from 1 species